UACGUAGGCAGCGAGCGUUGUUCGGAGUUACUGGGCGUAAAGGGUGUGUAGGCGGUCCUCUAAGUUUGGUGUGAAAUCUCCCGGCUCAACCGGGAGGGUGCGCCGAAAACUGGGGGACUAGAGUGCGGGAUGGGAGAGUGGAAUUCCUGGUGUAGCGGUGAAAUGCGUAGAUAUCAGGAGGAACACCGGUGGUGUAGACGGCUCUCUGGACCGUAACUGACGCUGAGACACGAAAGCGUUGGUAGCAAACAGG
rnacentral:rRNA from 1 species